rnacentral:lncRNA from 1 species
UAGAAUACUAUAUUAGAUGCUCUAAUGGAAAUUUAGUUACAAAGGAAGUUUUAAUCAACUUUGUGAUUGAUUUGAAAGAUUUUUUUAUCAUAUUUCAGAGCUAUUGCAGUGGCAUUUUCUGAAUUUUCUAACCCCUUUAUAUCCUCAUUAAUGAAACAGUUAAAUUUACCCUGUAUUAUUUAACAAAUAAUUUAGGUGUUCUCCACCAGUAUAUAGUGUUUUCUUUGUCAUAUAUUACAUACUUACCAGUGACUGUGCCUUACUACUUUCUUCCGUGGAUCAGUCUCAUCAUAAUGUUUUAAUUAUUUGAGCUCUGUAACAUUUUAAUGCCUAAUAAAACAAGUAAUCCCUUUCUCUUUGUUUAUUCAUCCAGAUGAGAUUUAAAAUCAUUUUGAUGAUUUCUCUAAGAUUAUGUUGAGUUUCUAAAACUUGGUUUGUGUUAAAUCUGUUCAUUGAUUUGGAGACUGACAGAUAUAAAAGAUGUAAAACUUUUUUACAUGUUCAUAGCCUUCUAUGAAGAGUGUGGAAGAAUCACAACAAUGAAGAGAAGAUAUGUUUCUUGGGGAGCAUGUUCAAUCUAAUUCAAGUAGAUACAUGGAGUCGUGAAGAUAAAUUCUGAUCACACCGCAUUCUGGUCAUCAUUACCUAGUUGAAGAGGUUUAUUGGAGAAGAACUAUCAGUGUUUUAAAGCAGUGGUCUUCAAACGGGGGCACACAAAGACUUUCCAAGGGGGGUACAUAAAUAUAAAUAGUUUUAAGGUAA